ACGCGCGAUCAAAUUGACUAUUACACUUAAAAACAGCUUUUCUUUAAUUUUCUCAACAGACCAUAUUCUUAUUCUAUAUGCUGGAUCAUUCUGCACAUGGCAGUUCCUAUCAAUUUCAGCCGAUAGAGUUCAGAAUUCUUCUACAAACCCCUCACUACGAAAAGGACACGGUUGAGACGCUUUAUUCAGAAUCCAAAAUUGACAAAGUUAUGAAAUUGGCACCAUAAGAGGUCAGGAAGCAGUUGCUAUAGAUUGUGAAAUGGUUGGGGGUCAUUCGUCUCAAGACCUUUGCGCAAGGGUAUGCCUAGUUGAUGAAGAUGAGAAGCUUCUUUUCACACUUAUGUUCUACCUCAGAUUCUUGUGACUGAGUAUAGGUAUGAAAUUACUGGUAUAAAAGAGGAAAAUCUACAAGAUGCCAUGCCUCUGGAGGAAGCCUGGGAGAAAAUUCAGCAGAUUCUUCACAAUGGAGGGUCAAUUAUUACAGUAAGAUUGGAUGGUGGAAAAGCAAAAGUACUUGUGGGCGAUUAUUUUGAAAAACACUUGGAUUUCUUAGAGAUGAAUUAUCAUGAUCAUCUUCUGUGAUGUGAUAUCCAAGUUGGUUUCAUGAUCCUUACCAUGAUUUUGUCUCCGUCAUGCGGUUGUAUAAGAGGAUCCACUCACAAGACCACCCAAUAGAAGGAAGGGACUAUUAGGGUUUCAAAUCACCUCUAAGCUUUAGCAGUAGCUCUGAUCCAUGGAAAUCCAUGGCACAUGAGAGCAUGACGCCUGAUGAGCUCUUAGAGAUAUCAAGAUCCAAAUAUGAGUGUUGGUGUUUUGAUUCACGGGAUGCAGUUCUGAGAGAUACUGCAAAAUACCGGCCCCUGAUGAAGACCAACUUUGCUAGCCACUCUCUCAAAUAUCUAACUAAGACUUAUCUAGGGCAAGUUCCUUGCUCACUCAUGUUUUUCUUUACUUAGUUCUAUCUUCUCUUGUAUUUUUGUUGGUCAAGUUUAUCCGUUAUGUUCCCAUUGUGCAGUGUACUUUGAUUGCCCCUUGCUACUGAAGAAAAUUUUCAGUCACUUGUUUCCUUGGAUCUUGAAUGAAGCGAUGGUGUGCUGAGUUGGUGGCUGGCUUGAUGAUAUGAUAUCCAAGUUGGUUUCCAUGAUCCUUACCAAGAUUCAGUGUCUGCCAUGAGGUUGUACAAGAGGAUGUGCUCACAGGACCACCCAAUGGUUGGUGUAUCAAAUACACCAGAUCUAAGCUUUAUUGGUAGCUGUGAUCCAUGGAGAACCGUGGCACAUGAGAGAAUGACAAUAGAGGAGCUCUUAGCAAUAUCCAGAGCUAACUACGAGUGUUGGUGUCUUGAUUCACCGAUGUGAACACCUAUUUUAUUUAUUUUUUAUUCUUUUACUGAACCUAAGUUUUUACACCAUUUUAGUGUUUUAAUAUUUCUUUUUGAUCUAAAUUUGAUAUUUGGUUCAGUUUAUUUUGAAAAUUGAAAAAAACACUAGAAAAAAUAGCUCCGUUUUAGGACUCAAGUUUUGUUUUAGGUUUUCAUAAAUAAGCUGGAGGAUGAAACUAGUUUGAAAGCAUUUUUUAGCUUGGUGUUUGGAAAUUUUUGGAAGUUUUUGUUAAGAUAACUCAAAAUAAGUCAAAAGCUUUGAGUUAGUA